rnacentral:rRNA from 1 species
UACGUAGGGUGCGAGCGUUAAUCGGAAUUACUGGGCGUAAAGAGCGCGCAGGCGGUCGUUCAAGUCGAGUGUGAAAGCCCCCCGGCUCAACUGGGGAGGGUCACUCGAUACUGAUCGACUUGAAGGCAGGAGAGGGAAGCGGAAUUCCCGGUGUAGUGGUGAAAUGCGUAGAUAUCGGGAGGAACACCAGUGGCGAAGGCGG